AGUGGAAGAGGAGGUGGAGGACCUUGGAUUCCAGGGAGAGAAGCUGGAGAACAGUGCAGAAAGAAGGAAGCUGUGAAGGAAAUCGGAGGCAAGCAGAAGACAGACCUUCAUUCUCAUUGCUGCAGCCGCUCCUGCCUUGAGGCAGUGAAAGGAACUCCUGUUUGCUCUGCACUGAUACACAAUUUCACUGGAACUGAGUCAUCUCUGAUGUAUCUGCUAAACCCUGGCUGAAGACAAGAUCAUCUCAACACAGCAAGAAUUUGAUAAUAAAACACCCAGGAGAACCAUGCACUUGUGAAAGAAAAAAGCAAUGGAACUGAAACCAAACACCUACUUGGUCAGCAGGAG